AGUUUGAUCCUGGCUCAGAACGAACGCUGGCGGCGUGGAUAAGACAUGCAAGUCGAACGAGAGAAUUGCUAGCUUGCUAAUAAUUUCUGAGGGGCGCAAGGGGAUAACACGGUGAUACCUCGCCCCGAGAAGGGGAACGCCUGGGAACUGGGGUUAACCCCCAUAUGUCAGAAAAAUAAAACAACAAUCGCUUGGGGAUGGCUCCGCGCCUUAUUAUUUAGUUGGGAGAGAACGGCUCCACAAGGGGGAUGAGGGUUACCUGUCUUAAGAGGAUUCCCCGCCCCACUGGAAUUUAAACACGGUCCCGACACUUACGGGUGGCAGCAGUCGAGAAUCAUUCACAAUGGGGGAAACCCUGAUGGUGUGACCCCGCGUGGGGGAAUGAAGGUCUUCGGAUUGUAAACCCCUGGUCAUGUGGGAGCAAAUUAAAAAGAUAGUCCCACAAGAGGAAGAGACGGCUAACUCUGUGCCAGCAGCCGCGGUAAUACAGAGGUCUCAAGCGUUGUUCGGAAUCACUGGGCGUAAAGCGUGCGUAGGCUGUUUCGUAAGUCGUGUGUGAAAGGCGCGGGCUCAACCCGCGGACGGCACAUGAUACUGCGAGACUAGAGUAAUGGAGGGGGAACCGGAAUUCUCGGUGUAGCAGUGAAAUGCGUAGAUAUCGAGAGGAACACUCGUGGCGAAGGCGGGUUCCUGGACAUUAACUGACGCUGAGGCACGAAGGCCAGGGGAGCGAAAGGGAUUAGAUACCCCUGUAGUCCUGGCAGUAAACGGUGCACGCUUGGUGUGCGGGGAAUCGACCCCCUGCGUGCCGGAGCUAACGCGUUAAGCGUGCCGCCUGGGGAGUACGGUCGCAAGAUUAAAACUCAAAGAAAUUGACGGGGACCCGCACAAGCGGUGGAGUAUGUGGCUUAAUUCGAUGCAACGCGAAGAACCUUACCUGGGCUUGACAUGUAAUGAACAACAUGUGAAAGCAUGCGACUCUUCGGAGGCGUUACACAGGUGCUGCAUGGCCGUCGUCAGCUCGUGUCGUGAGAUGUUUGGUUAAGUCCAGCAACGAGCGCAACCCCUGUUGCCAGUUACCAGCACGUGAAGGUGGGGACUCUGGCGAGACUGCCCAGAUCAACUGGGAGGAAGGUGGGGACGACGUCAGGUCAGUAUGGCCCUUAUGCCCAGGGCUGCACACGUACUACAAUGCCCAGUACAGAGGGGGCCGAAGCCGCGAGGCGGAGGAAAUCCUGAAAACUGGGCCCAGUUCGGACUGUAGGCUGCAACCCGCCUACACGAAGCCGGAAUCGCUAGUAAUGGCGCAUCAGCUACGGCGCCGUGAAUACGUUCCCGGGUCUUGCACACACCGCCCGUC
rnacentral:rRNA from 1 species